UGGGGAAUAUUGCACAAUGGGCGAAAGCCUGAUGCAGCGACGCCGCGUGGGGGAUGACGGCCUUCGGGUUGUAAACCCCUUUCAGUAGGGAAGAAGCGAGAGUGACGGUACCUGCAGAAGAAGCGCCGGCUAACUACGUGCCAGCAGCCGCGGUAAUACGUAGGGCGCAAGCGUUGUCCGGAAUUAUUGGGCGUAAAGAGCUUGUAGGUGGCUUGUCGCGUCUGCCGUGAAAACCCGAGGCUCAACCUCGGGCGUGCGGUGGGUACGGGCAGGCUAGAGUGUGGUAGGGGAGUCUGGAACUCCUGGUGUAGCGGUGAAAUGCGCAGAUAUCAGGAAGAACACCGAUGGCGAAGGCAGGUCUCUGGGCCAUUACUGACACUGAGAAGCGAAAGCAUGGGUAGCGAACA
rnacentral:rRNA from 1 species